CUCCUCUUGGGAUUUUGGGCACACCCACAUGAGUCCAGCAUGACUUUCAAGCUGACGCGUCCUGAACCAUGAUGGGCGGAUGUGGAAGUCCUGAGCCUUAACCACCACCUGCUGGCUCCGAAUCAGAUACUUUAUAGUAACUGUAUGAACAGUUACUUAGAUAUAACCUGUUAGAUAUGUUUAUAGAAAACCAUGCCACUGCCUAUCAGUCCAUUCUACCCUUCGCUUGGAAAUUGGUGCAAGCUGCCAUUAAUGUUUCUAAACAUUCUUCAAGUGUUUUAAAUAGUUCGUAAUGGAGAAAAAAAGGAAUAUUUACAGUAAAAAACGAGAAUCAGAAAAAUAUCUACAUUAUAUAUAUAUGCUUAAGACCAGAAAUGUACCCCAAAAUAUGCACCAUGACAGUAUUUUCCAACAUGUGCUUCUUUUUGUUUAAAAAAGGCAGAUCAUUCUGAAUCAAGUCAAUACUAUCAUUCUUUUCUUUAGUGCCCUAAGAUAAUAUUCUUCAAUUACACUUUGAAGUAAAGUUUAACGAACAACCAAACUCAAGUUUAAUGAUUUGUUUUAUUAUUGAUCAUGAGUAUAUUAAAAGAUUUCUUAAAAAAAAAAAAAAAAGCUAGAGCCUUUACUACUAAAUUAUAACCAAGUUGCUCUGAAGUAAUUUGAAAGUAACUUUUGAAAAGCCCACAAUAUAGUAAUCUCACCACUUCAACUACGGGCAAAUAAGGCUGAAAUUACUUUUUGACACUAUAUUAAGGACAAAAUAGUAAAGAAAUCCCGAUGUCCACCCCCAAAACUGGUAGAAUGUGCUUAAUAUAAUUAACCCCACAUGGUGAUACUAAAAAUCUAAGUUUUCUAGUAAAAAACAAACAAACAAACAAACUCUGCCCAUGAACCAAUAUCUAAAUCUAGGAACACAGAUUCAGGGAGAUGAACAUAAGUGAAUACAAUAAAACUAAAAGUAAAGGUUUAAAAGAUAGAGAAAAAUAAUCAUCUAAUUUCACCACACAGUAAUUACUUUCACGAGACAAAGGAUCCCAUCCAAAAAACUUUAUUAUAACAUCGCCUAUCUUACCUUAUCCUAAAGAAAAUAUUCUAUGUGAGCUGAUGGGACACAUCAGUCGAUUUUCAUGCCAGAACAAAAGUAUGCACACUAGUAUAAUUUGUAGUAGCCACUCAGACUCCAUGUCAAAGCAUGCCGUACAAUUCCACAGGAGAGAUGCCGAGUUAUCACAGACGUGGGCGGCAGUCAGCUCAUCCUCACGCCCACCCCGCGCCCGCACGUAGUAGGGGUGCACCUCCCAUACCACCACCAGCUGGAGACCGAUUAUCUAGUCAAGAGAACGGUGUGGAACAAACCCCUUGCCUGGGUCCCACACCUCUCUUUAAAACUUUUCAGUAGAAAUACCGCUGUUUCCCACAAAACUGGGGAGGAAAAGGGGAAGCGCUGUGAAGACCUCUCAAACCUAAGCCUUUACCUACUUAGAAAACACGGUGCGCAGCGAGCAGCCAGUUCCCCACAUUAAAGAGAACGUUUAUUUGCAACAGCUCCCUUUUAAGGCCUCAACAGAUCGGGCUAGGCCACACCCCUCCACAAAUGGCACAGUCCAUACAAUAGCCGGGAGGAUGGAAAAGGGCGAGCGACGACCCCGGGGGCUUCGGCGAACUUGUGGGAAUUCUGAGAAGGCAGUGAGGAGUAACGCACCUCGCCCCAUUAUUAUUAAGGACACUCGGGAGACAGAGGAUUACAAAUACGCCCCGAGACCGCACGCGGGCGAGCGGAACGAGAACCACACGGGAUCUGGGCCGUGCUGGAAACUCGCACCACCCCGGAUGCAAAUAAAAUCCAUGGAAGACCUGCCCUUGCAACAUUGAAGGAGACAGUUUUAACCACAACAGAUAUUGUGAUGUGCACAUGGCUGGAAAAGAAGUCCCCAGAAUAUAACGGAAAGAGCACUACACUUGGAAUCAAGGAUACCUGUCUCUGAUCUCCAGGAUUUAUUAUCUAGGACACAGACAUCCCUGAUCCUCGGGGAGAGAGUUAACAGAGACCUUACACCUUACGGAUGGAGACAAGGUUAUUGCUGGCUUUGAGGAUGAAGAAAAGCAGCCAUGAGCCAAGGAAUGUGAGCAGCCUCUAGAAGCAGAAUGAUUCUUCCCCAUAAAAGCCACCUUAGAGGAAUGCAGUCCUGCCAGCAUCUGGAUUUUAGUGCAGUGAGACUCAUGUUGGAAUUUUGCCCCCCAGAACUAUAAGAUAAAAAAUCUGUGUUUUUGAAGACAUUUAAAGUGAAAUAAAAAUGCUUAUGUAUUUUUCAAUAAGAAAAAGAAGAUAAAAACAAAACAAAAACAGAAAAAACUGUCCUUCAACAGUUCUCUACUAUAAGACGAAGUCCAAAUGCUCCAGCAGGGCACACAGAGCUCUUCUUGAUUGAUCUUACC